rnacentral:rRNA from 1 species
AGCGUAGGCGGGUAUGCAAGUUGAAUGUGAAAUCUAUCGGCUCAACCGAUAGGCUGCGUUCAAAACUGUAUAUCUUGAGUGAAGUAGAGGUAGGCGGAAUUCCUGGUGUAGCGGUGAAAUGCGUAGAUAUCAGGAGGAACACCGGUGGCGAAGGCGGCCUGCUGGGCUUUUACUGACGCUGAGGCUCGAAAGCAUGGGUAGCAAACA